CGCGUAGGUGGUAGUGUAAGUCUGGGGUGGAAUCCCAGGGCUUAACCCUGGAACUGCCUUGGAAACUGCAUUACUUGAGUCAGUGAGGGGAGGAUAGAAUUCCUGGUGUAGCGGUGAAAUGCGUAGAUAUCAGGAGGAAGGCCUGUGGCGAAGGCGGCCCUCUGGCGCUGGACUGACACUGAGGCGCGAAAGCGUGGGGAGCAAACAGGAUUAGAUACCCUGGUAGUCCACGCCCUAAACGGUGGGCACUAGGUGUAGGGCUCGUAAGGGUUCUGUGCCGAAGGGAAACCAUUAAGUGCCCCGCUGGGGAGUACGGCCGCAAGGUUGAA
rnacentral:rRNA from 1 species